UUGUGAACCAGCCAGUGCUGAGCCAAGUGUUUGAGAUCUUCCUGGAAGGAACAACAAUUAAGUCUGCAAGCUGGUGUGCAUGUGGCCAGUGGAAGACACUUUCAGGGAAGGCCAUGGUUCCCGACUGUGCCAUUCUGAUCCUCUGUGCUUCCUGGGCACCAUCAGAACACACUGGGUCCAACCAGUCCAGAAAUCCCUCCCUCAUGCUUCCUGUCCAUCUGCCUUAGCUCUGAAGUAUUGAUUACCUCGGGCAACAACACUCACUCUUCGAGUUGUGCAGGCGCACCAAACAAUGCAAAAAAGAUUGAAGUCUGAAUUAUGCCUUAAGUGUCUUUUGGUAAGUGGUGCCAAUAAAAUGACAAUAGCUGUUCUAAACAUAAUGUUACAUUUCCCGCAGCUGAGAAGAGCAUGUACCAAAGGCUGAAUCACUUCCAAAGGAGGAAAUGAAGUCUGUUUUCUGCAUUUGGAAGGACUGAUGAUGUCUUGGGAGGCAGGAUGACUAGAAAUUAUACAAACUCCAUGACCCUGUUUCUCAGGAUGCAUUACAGUCCUCCGAGGGAGCCAUGCUCCCCCACAUCUCAGUACGAUUAUAAUCCUUAGUGUCUUAAUGAUAUGGGUGGAAAUAUGCAUGCCUUGGUGAGUUAAGAUUCCUGAGGCAGUGUUCACAUAUUCUUCCCUUAAGGACUCAGAUGCUGGGCUGAUGAAUCACUAAGCAGAGGACGGGAAGGUGAACUUGGAGCUUUGCUAGCGGCCUGGGAGAUAAAACUCCAUGGAGGACGUGAGUGGAGGCGGCUUCCGGCGAACUCACUGGCUAGCAAGGCCUUCUCUCCGACUUCCUCCUCCUCACAGUAUUUAGUCUCCCUGAUUCUUGGGGACGUUUUCCUUAAAGCCCCAUUUAGUGAGGUAUACCAUCCUAUGGUAGGAAACAUAGGCACCCUUAUCAGGUUACUGCAAUCUUGGUAAUCUCUUUGCUUCCGGACACAUAAGAGGCACUCAAUAUAUACUGAAUAAAAGGAUGGAUUGAUAAAUGAGUGAAUGAGA